GAAGAACUCACUGAGCACAACUUCUUUCUUCACAACAGGUUUUCCUAACAGGAUUGCCCAGCAUGAUGCUGCCACCACUAUGCAGGCAUGGAAGGUUUCCAUCGUGCUCAGAGAGGGACAAACAUCAGGUUCCUCAAUCCUCAGAGUGGAUCAAAGUGCUGGACUGUGGACGCUAACGUUGGGGACGUCUGUGGCUACAUGCUUAGCACUGAGGUGCUAUUUUAAUCUGGAAUUUCAUCACUGAUAGGCUAACUCCUCUUAGCCAAACUUCAACACAACAGCAGUCUUUUCCAGCGUUGAAUCAUAUCGUUUUUAGCAGCAGACAUUAAGAUUUACUGGUGUACCAGAAACGCAAAAACAAAGGUUCCGCUUGGAACGUUUUAUGUUCAAAACAUAAAUCAAGUGAUUAACUGAAACAUUUUAACAUGUGAAAGUUUCCUGUUUUAUAUCUCAGUGUAACGUCAAAGUUUCUUGAAAGUAAUGAAGCGAAAGCAACAAGUUAAAGUCUCGACCCUAUUAUUUAUCAAACUGUCAGCACAAAGCAAACAAAUAGAAAAACAUUCUAAAAAUUGUUCCUAAUUCUGAUAUCUUUGCUAAUUAAGGAUCUAACCUUAUUCUAAAGUUUACCAUUCUCUCAGGAGGUUAAUAAAAUGGUUUCACAACCUUUAAUACUGAGCUCUGAAACAUAAAGACUGAAGAGGGAGUGCAGGAGGAAUUAUUCUGAGCACUUCAGGGCCAUAAAACAUUCAUGAAGUGAGGUAAAAUGUUGUUUUCAAAGACAUCAGGGAAAUCAAGUUAAAUGUGUGUAAAAGGUCAGAUCUAAGGGGUUUUACAUUCACUAUUUUAUUACUUUCACCUAGAAUCACAUACUAAAAGAAAAUUCAGA